ACCCCAGCCGGCUGCCUCGCCCCCUCGGAGCCGGGCCGGGUCUGCGGCGGCUCCUGGGACUUCUGACCGGCAGGCGCGGGGGCCGGAUCCCCGGGACCUGACUCCCACCCCGCGAGGCAUGCGCUCCAUCAGGGGCUCCCAAACCACUCCGACGCCACUCAGCCCAGCGCAGCCCCGACCCCUCCGAUGCCUGUGCUCGGGGUCCCUCCCUCCAGGGUCUCUCCGUUCUGACCCCGGAGCCGCCAAGUCCCCACCUCCGCGAACCUUCGAAGUUUCGCUGGUGGCGGUUCCCGGGACCGCGCCGCGCGCCGCGCCCCUGGCUGUCCGGGGCGAACUGGAUUCCUUCGCUGCGGCUUCGCCUCCCACCUACCCUGCUGUCCACUGCGGAUUCCCGGGCGAAGCCUUCUGCCCGCAGCAGCUUUUGGAGAAGGAGAUAUGAGUCAGAAAAAAAGUAGGAGAGGAACAGGCUGAUGCUUCCUGUCCGCCCUCUUCCAGAGAUUAUGUCUGGCAGAAGCUAGACUCUCUAGAUGAGCCGAGGGAAUCUGAGAGCCAAGAAGACUUGUGCAACGGCCUCCAGGGAAAGCCAGAGAAAGGGCAAGUCUCAACGAUAUCCCCCACCUCAGAGCAAAGGAGAAGGGCUGUGGGAUUCCUUAGCAGGAAGCACCAGCAACAACUCCCCCCUCCAAACGCCAGAGCCACGGAAGAAGCAACAACCAGGAGGCAGUGGGGUCCAGAUAAGGAUGCAGGGUCUGGAGAAGCCUGGAGGUCAGGAAC
ensembl:lncRNA